UGGAGAGUAAGUUCUGUGUGUCUUGUAUGUAGGACAGGUAUGUAAGGAAUGUGAGUAUGUAUGUCAUGUGACCUGACAUAGACUUUUCAUUGGACAGUUUUACCUAACACGCAUGCUUUUAAUCACUUUUCUAUAUUCAAAAUCACUUCUGCUUUGGUAUCCAAGCACAUAACAUCUACGAAGUCAUUGUCCGAAUAUUCAAAGAGAUCUGCUGAUGUACAAUGUAUUUGUAAAAUCAAAUCCAAAACAGCUGUGUGUUGAUGUUGAAACAUCAUUACGGAACCUCCGCAUGAUAUGUGGGGGUUUUUUAAUACCGUGAUGAACGGUUACAAUAAACCAACAUGAAGCUGA